CGGACUGCCCCCUGUUGAGUUGAAGCUAGUUGAAUGAAAAAGAGUUAGAGAGGUAGUUGAAUUAAAAUCUUCUCCUAUCAGUACUUUGUCGUUCGAUUACAGAUUCCAAAAAGCGUUUUCAAAUGAUAUAUAGCUUAAUAUGAAGUGAAAAAAGAGAAAAAAGCAAGUAUGUGCAAAAAAAUGCAGAAUAAAAGUUUCAUAAUGUGAAAAUUUAUUAAUGAACUUCCCACGCCAUAAUUGUCAUUCACCCCUCGCAUCGCCAUUACAAUAACGAGGAAAUUGUCAAUUAGCCCCGGUAAAACGUCAUGCUAAUAUCCGAGGUGUUGAUUACCGCGACAACAAAACGCGACAGGGUAGAGAAACGGAGUGUCAAACCGAAGGGGACACAACCCAUCCAAGUAGUCAUGAACGCGUACGGCACCGGAAGUACUGAUGCAUAUCGCGCGCCUGCUACGAUCGCGGUGUGAAAAUGUGAGCGGGGUUCUUGUUUUAACUUAAUUAUGGUGAUUGCUUGGCGUGAUUAUGAUAAAAGUUUUGUGCAAUUUUCAGGGUUUUCAUAAAUUGUUUCCAUUUUUGGACGAUUUUCAGUUAAUUCGUACGUGCAGAGCGGAACGUCGUAAAAUGUUUGAGGUCAAAAGCCCUCACACUCUGUCAUUACGCAACAAAUAUUCCACCUUUUACGACUUUUUGAUUUCCCUCGCGGCAUUUAUGAAUUUCCCCCCGAGUGCGCGAGCGCGCUCGUUUAUGAAGUGUUUCUGUUUUACAAAGCCUACUUUGCUAGUUUGAUGUUUUUCAUCACCUUUCCGCGGCUGUGAGCCAUUCGGCAUCUUUUCAAGUGUCCAGUGCAGCCAAAUCUGCUCCGGGGAAACUAGUUAUGCUUCGCAACAGGUCGUAAAAACCCUCUCGUUUUGGUCUCUUCGUGGGGUGUGAAACGUUUUGGAAGAGUUUGCCUAAAUUUACUAAUCAAUGGAUUUAUGCUAGUGGGGGGGCGUUUUACGAUAUGAAUUAAUCAAAUUAAGAGAAAAAAAGCUUUUUACAUCCAAAACACAAAGUCUACUUUAAUUUGUGAAUGCAUAUUAAAUAAAUUCGUUGGUCAGUUUAGCAAAAUGAAAUGACCCCGUUCUGCAAAAGAUAAUUUUACGAGUCUGCACCGCCGACGCUCUCAUUUGCAUAUCAAACCUGAAAGUCUGGUCCCACCAAGUGCCUUCACCGUCCACAGUCGCCCCAAGAUUAAUUGAAUAAUUAAACAAUGUAGGAGCUCUUUUCCCCCUCGCGCGCGAUAGUCAUCUGCAUAUCAAGCUCGGCUCAUAAUUUUCCGCUCCCGUAGUCAAAUUUCGCGCGCCCAAGCAAAGAUCCACGUGAUGCUCAUUUGAAUGCACAAACAUUCACACAAUCUACAUAUUUGAUUGCGCGCCCAUGCUUAUUUGCGUAUUUGCCCCCACCUUGCGCGCGCGCGAAAACAGAGCAAUUUGAAACAUUUUAAGCACCUUGUAGUGUGUCUUAUCGGACUCAUCAGAAUAUCCAUCGCGCAGUAGGCUAGCGGAGCAGUCGCGGGGUGACCAGCCACCGGAACAUCUCAGCGCCUACUUUGCUUACCGGUGUGUCAAUCAGCGACGGAAUCUACAUACUGAGACAUUUUAUGACUUUUUAACGCUUCCCUUUCGAGUGGUAACGAGCUUGCACUUGGGAGUUUUGAGGACGGCUAUCACUAACGGCGCCUGGUUCUGUGGUUUUCCAACCCAGUGCGUACUUCUCAACGUCGUAUUCUGCAUACCACCAGCACCGCAACCACCCACUAAACAGACAGACAGACAGUCAGUCAGACAGUCAUAAUGAGCAAUGCGAAUGCAGCUGAUGCAUGCAAAAUUGCAUGGUUAGGUCUUCAAGGCAAGCAAUGUUGUGAUUAUUACCGUACCAAAAGACCUAGCAAUUGUAAAUGGGAAAUGAGUCUGGUUGAAGAAGUUUUGUGAUUUUUGUUGCACUGGGUUUGGUUGACUUUGGUUUAAUGAUAGGUGACACACCGUAGUCUUAAUUGGUACUAAUUUUGUGGUAGACUGAUUUAGCAGAUAUCCGAGAGGUUUAAACAUUGUAGUUGUUUAUAA